CAGUCGCCGCGGUAAUACGUAGGUGGCAAGCGUCGUCCGGAAUUAUUGGGCGUAAAGCGCGCGCAGGCGGAUAGGUCAGUCUGUCUUAAAAGUUCGGGGCUUAACCCCGUGAUGAGAUGGAAACUGCCAAUCUAGAGUAUCGGAGAGGAAAGUGGAAUUCCUAGUGUAGCGGUGAAAUGCGUAGAUAUUAGGAAGAACACCAGUGGCGAAGGCGACUUUCUGGACGAAAACUGACGCUGAGGCGCGAAAGCCAGGGGAGCGAACGGGAUUAGAUACCCCCGUAGUCCCUGUCUCUUAUACA
rnacentral:rRNA from 1 species